rnacentral:rRNA from 1 species
GACGAACGCUGGCGGCGUGCUUAACACAUGCAAGUCGAACGAAGAGCGAUGGAAGCUUGCUUCUAUCAAUCUUAGUGGCGAACGGGUGAGUAACGCGUAAUCAACCUGCCCUUCAGAGGGGGACAACAGUUGGAAACGACUGCUGAUACCGCAUACGAUCUAAUCUCGGCAUCGAGGAUAGAUGAAAGGUGGCCUCUACAUGUAAGCUAUCACUGAAGGAGGGGAUUGCGUCUGAUUAGCUAGUUGGAGGGGUAACGGCCCACCAAGGCGAUGAUCAGUAGCCGGUCUGAGAGGAUGAACGGCCACAUUGGGACUGAGACACGGCCCAGACUCCUACGGGAGGCAGCAGUGGGGAAUCUUCCGCAAUGGACGAAAGUCUGACGGAGCAACGCCGCGUGAGCGAUGACGGCCUUCGGGUUGUAAAGCUCUGUUAAUCGGGACGAAAGGCCUUCUUGCGAAUAGUGAGAAGGAUUGACGGUACCGGAAUAGAAAGCCACGGCUAACUACGUG